rnacentral:rRNA from 1 species
CUACGGGUCGCUCCAGGCGAGAAAACUUUGCAAUGUGCGAAAGCACGACAAGGUUAAUCCGAGUGGUUUGUGCUAAACGAACCUUUUGACAGUCCUAGAAACACUGUUGAGUAAGGGGUGGGCAAGUUCUGGUGUCAGCCGCCGCGGUAAAACCAGCACCUCAAGUGGUCAGGAUGAUUAUUGGGCCUAAAGCAUCCGUAGCCGACUCUGUAAGUUUUCGGUUAAAUCUGUACGCUCAACGUACAGGCUGCCGGGAAUACUGCAGAGCUAGGGAGUGGGAGAGGUAGACGGUACUCGGUAGGAAGGGGUAAAAUCCUUUGAUCUAUUGAUGACCACCUGUGGCGAAGGCGGUCUACCAGAACACGUCCGACGGUGAGGGAUGAAAGCUGGGGGAGCAAACCGGAUUAGAUACCCCGGUAGUC